rnacentral:rRNA from 1 species
GACGAACGCUGGCGGCGUGCUUAACACAUGCAAGUCGAACGGAAAGGCCCUGCUUUUGUGGGGUGCUCGAGUGGCGAACGGGUGAGUAACACGUGAGUAACCUGCCCUUGACUUUGGGAUAACUUCAGGAAACUGGGGCUAAUACCGGAUAGGAGCUCCUGCUGCAUGGUGGGGGUUGGAAAGUUUCGGCGGUUGGGGAUGGACUCGCGGCUUAUCAGCUUGUUGGUGGGGUAGUGGCUUACCAAGGCUUUGACGGGUAGCCGGCCUGAGAGGGUGACCGGCCACAUUGGGACUGCGAUACGGCCCAGACUCCUACGGGAGGCAGCAGUGGGGAAUAUUGCACCAUGGGCGGAAGCCUGAUGCAGCAGCGCCGCGUGCGGGAUGACGGCCUUCGGGUUGUAAACCGCUUUCGCCUGUGACGAAGCGUGAGUGACGGUAAUGGGUAAAGAAGCACCGGCUAACUACGUG